rnacentral:rRNA from 1 species
UUAAGAAGAAUGACAAGCGUGACCAAAAAUCAGUUUGGUUUCAUGCCUGGGAGGUCGACCAUGGAAGCCAUUUUCUUGGUACGACAACUUAUGGAGAGAUAUAGAGAGCAAAAGAAGGACAUGGAUAUAGUGUUCAUUGACUUGGAGAAGGCCUAUGAUAAGAUACCGCGGAAUGUCAUGUGGUGGGCCUUGGAGAAACACAAAGUCCCAGCAAAGUACAUUACCCUCAUCAAGGACAUGUACGAUAAUGUUAUGACAAGUGUUCAAACAAGUGAUGUCGACACUGAUGACUUCCCGAUUAAGAUAGGACUGCAUCAGGGGUCAGCUUUGAGCCCUUAUCUUUUUGCAUUGGUGAUGGAUGAGGUCACAAGGGAUAUACAAGGAGAUAUCCCAUGGUGUAUGCUCUUUGCGGACGAUGUGGUGCUAGUUGACGAUAGUCGGACGGGGGUAAAUAGGAAGUUAGAGUUAUGGAGACAAACCGUGGAAUCAAAAGGGUUUAGGCUUAGUAGAACUAAAACCGAGUACAUGUUGUGCGGUUUCAGUACUACUAGGUGUGAGGAGGAGGAGGUUAGCCUUGAUGGCCAGGUG